UACGAAGGGUGCAAGCGUUACUCGGAAUUACUGGGCGUAAAGCGUGCGUAGGUGGUUUGUUAAGUCGGAUGUGCAAUCCCCGAGCUCAACUUGGGAACUGCAUCCGAAACUGGGGAGCUAGAGUACUGGAGAGGGUGGUAGAAUUCCACGUGUAGCGGUGAAAUGCGUAGAGAUGUGGAGGAAUACCAGUGGCGAAGGCGGCCACCUGGACAGUAACUGACGCCGAGGCGCGAAAGUGUGGGUAGCAAACAGGAUUAGAAACCCUAGUAGU
rnacentral:rRNA from 1 species